GGGGGGGGGGGGGGGGGGGGGGGGGGGGGGGGGGGGGAGCGGAGGGGGGAGGAGCUUGCGCGUGUGGGUUUAGGUGCUGCCGGGGGCGUAACACGUGGCUACCCUUCCUAGGAGCCUGGGGUGGCUUCGGGACACCGGUCAUAAUCCCGUGUCAUUUAUUGACCCGCAUUCUUCCAUCCUUAACGACGGUUUUCCCGUCACGUCUCGAUCUCUCCGCGCCGCAUUAGCUCGUUGGUAAGGGAACGGCUUACCAAGGCAACGAUGCUUAGCCGACGUGCGAGGGUGAGCGGCCAAACUGGAACUGAGACACGGUGCAGAAUCCUAGGGGAGGGAGCAGUAGGGAAUCUUCCGCAAUGGGCGAAAGCCUGACGGAGCAACGCCGCGUGAGUGAUGAAGGUCUUCGGAGCGUAAAACUCUGUUAUUAGGGAAGAACAAAUGCGUAAGUAACGAUGCACGGCGGGACGGUACCUAAUCAGAAAGCCACGGCUAACUACGUG
rnacentral:rRNA from 1 species